CCAGGAGACAUGAAGAAUACUCCCAGGUGGUCACUCUUCCCAGGCGCUCUCCAGGUGGCCCAGGGCAGCCCAGGGCUCUGCCCCUGGUGUACUCUCUCUUUCUCUCACGAUGCUGGAACUAAUGCUGGGUGUGGCGUCUGCACCUGCAUGUCCCUACAGCUCUCUCGGCAUCUCGUACACAAGGUGAAGGCAAAGCGAGCGAGGAACCUAU
rnacentral:snoRNA from 1 species